UACGGUGGGAGCAAGCGUUGUUCGGAUUUACUGGGCGUAAAGGGCGCGUAGGCGGUCGUGACAAGUCACUUGUGAAAUCUCCGGGCUUAACUCGGAACGGUCAAGUGAUACUGUCGGACUAGAGUACAGAAGGGGCAACUGGAAUUCUCGGUGUAGCGGUGAAAUGCGUAGAUAUCGAGAGGAACACCUGCGGCGAAGGCGGGUUGCUGGGCUGAUACUGACGCUGAGGCGCGAAAGCCAGGGGAGCGAACGGG
rnacentral:rRNA from 1 species